rnacentral:rRNA from 1 species
UACGUAGGGUGCGAGCGUUAAUCGGAAUUACUGGGCGUAAAGUGUGCGCAGGCGGUGAUGUAAGACAGGUGUGAAAUCCCCGGGCUUAACCUGGGAACUGCAUUUGUGACUGCAUCGCUGGAGUGCGGCAGAGGGGGAUGGAAUUCCGCGUGUAGCAGUGAAAUGCGUAGAUAUGCGGAGGAACACCGAUGGCGAAGGCAAUCCCCUGGGCCUGCACUGACGCUCAUGCACGAAAGCGUGGGGAGCAAACAGG